GGGGUCGUAGUCGAACUUGGUUAAGACGCCAGCCUCGGGCGCUGGAAAUUCUGGGUUCAAAUCCCAGCGAUCCCA
rnacentral:tRNA from 1 species